AUGGAUACCAUAUCCUGGAAGCUAACGAAUGAUGGCCAAUACUCCGCUGCAUCGGCAUAUGAGGUCCAGUUCCGGGGCUUAGUUGACACGGAGCUUGUGCAAACGGUCUGGAAGAAUUGGGCUCCUCCAAAAUGCAAGCUUUUCGCUUGGCUUGUCAUCAACAACAGGGUUUGGACGGCAGAUCGGCUACAGCGACGUGGAUGGCCUAAUUGCAACCUUUGCCCCCUUUGUAAACAAGUCCAAGAAUCAGCGACACAUCUUCUCUUCCAAUGCAGAUACACAACUAGAGUUUGGGCUUUGAUCAAGGUUUGGCUUGGCCUUCAUGACGUGAACCUCGUGGAGUGGGGUCACAUGAAUUCAGCUAAAGGCUGGUGGAGCCUCAACGCGACCAGGAAGACGCAGUCCAGAAAGCCGCUCAUCUCCCUCAUGCUACUCGUUUCAUGGGAGAUUUGGAAGGAACGAAAAGCAAGGGUCUUCCACAACUUGGCGGUGCCGGUUGGUGUUAUUGUUGCUAGGAUCAAAGAAGAGUGUAAUCUGUGGUGUCUCGCCGGAGCGAAGCAUCUGUGUAAUUCAAUGCCGCGAGAGUGA
rnacentral:rRNA from 1 species